CCUACGGGAGGCUGCAGUGAGGAAUAUUGGUCAAUGGGCGUAAGCCUGAACCAGCCAAGUCGCGUGAGGGAUGUAGGUUCUAUGGAUCGUAAACCUCUUUUAUAAGGGAAUAAAGUGCGGGACGUGUCCCGUUUUGUAUGUACCUUAUGAAUAAGGAUCGGCUAACUCCGUGCCAGCAGCCGCGGUAAUACGGAGGAUCCGAGCGUUAUCCGGAUUUAUUGGGUUUAAAGGGUGCGUAGGCGGCCUUUUAAGUCAGCGGGGAAAGUCUGUGGCUAAACCAUAGAAUUGCCGUUGAAACUGGGAGGCUUGAGUAUGUUUGAGGCAGGCGGAAUGCGUGGUGUAGCGGUGAAAUGCUUAGAUAUCACGCAGAACCCCGAUUGCGAAGGCAGCCUGCCAAGCCAUGACUGACGCUGAUGCACGAAAGCGUGGGGAUCAAACAGGAUUAGAUACCCUUGUAGUC
rnacentral:rRNA from 1 species